rnacentral:rRNA from 1 species
CCUACGGGUGGCAGCAGUGGGGAAUAUUGGACAAUGGGGGGAACCCUGAUCCAGCGACGCCGCGUGAGUGAAGAAGUCUUUCGGUAUGUAAAGCUCUAUCAGCAGGGAAGAAAAUGACGGUACCUGACUAAGAAGCCCCGGCUAACUACGUGCCAGCAGCCGCGGUACUACGUAGGGGGCCAGCGUUAUACGGAUUUCCUGGGUGUAAAGGGAGCGUAGUCGGAUCAGCAGGUCUGAUGUGAAAGGUCGGGGCCCAACCCCGGGACUGCAUGGGAAACUGGUGAUCUUGAGUACAGGAGAGGUAAGCGGAAUUCGUAGUGUAGCGGUGAAAUGCGUAGAUAUUACGAGGAACACCAGUGGCGAAGGCAGCUUACUGGACUGUAACUGACGCUGAGGCUCGAAAGCGUGGGUAGCAAACAGGAUUAGAUACCCUAGUAGUC